GAUCUGUGAAAGAGUAGACCUGGAUGGGAUGCACUUAGGUUUUGUCCCCAGAAGAGGCACCAUACAUGCUAUCUUUCUUGUGAGAACUAUAAUGAAUAACACUAUUUGUUCACAAAUUGUGGUUU